rnacentral:lncRNA from 1 species
UUAUAAACACUAUAAGAAAAUGUCAGUGCAAGGACGCCUUUUAGACAAUGCUUGAGGCAGGAAGCGCCUCCAUGCGUCCCUACAAUAUAGCAAAUACCAACACUUCAAAAAGUAUCGUCAUAUUAACCAUUUAUUGUACCAAAUCAAUUUAUUAAAUGAUAACUUUUACUAUUAUUUUUGUAACGCUUCGACCGAUACUUUCAAAUGUGAUGCUAGCUAGAUUAUAUUGCUAUGCUUUUAAGAAUCGUUAAAUAUAUAUAAAAAAAGGCUAAAUUAUAUAAAACCUCCAUGUUAAAACCCGAUUUUUUACUUUCCCUCCCUGUCAUUUAGAAAUCUACACUUUGAUCCCUUGUAAAAUAAAAAAUGUUCACUUUGCCCCCCGUCGUUAGUAAUCCGUUAGGAUUCCGUUUAUAAAAUAUUAUUAUAUAUUUUUUAUGCCAAAAAUGCCCUCAGCCUUCUCUCCUGUGAAUAUGGCGAGGGACAAAAUGGUGAGGGGCAAAAUGGUCAUUUUGUCAUCACCGUUCACACCGUAACACCUUGUGAACAUUUUUCAUUUUACAAGGGGGCAAAGUGUAGAUUUUUAAAUGACAGGGAGGGAAAGUGAAAAAUCGGGUUUUGGUAGGGAGGUUUUCUGUAAUUUAGCCAAAAAAAAAAAAACGUCUUUAAAUGUAACCUUUUCUAUAGUGAAGAUAUAGCCGCGAGUUCCACUAUUUUACAAAGUCUAGGAGUACUUAGGCUGUUCAGUUAUUGGGGGAAACCGUGAUGAAAAUCUGAUUGUGAUUAAAAUCUAACUAAUUUUAUGAUAAAAUAAAUAAAUCAAUUUACAGGUAAAUGCAAAUAUCCCAAUAAAGAUUUGAUCUUAUCCGGAAGUGUGCGAGGCACUGCCCUAAGGCGUAUUCCCGUCCUUACGUGCGGGAUUAAUCGGGAAUAAUACUCCAAGAUACGACCGGUAUUCCUCCUCCUGCAAGCACUGACGGAGACUCUUUCAACACACAGUAGAUAAGAAAAAUAUUCGAAGAUAAAAUGAUGAAUAGAUCAGGAUUAACCAAUUAUUUGAUGUCCUUCUUAACAGGGGAGGAAAAGGUGAUAAUAUAUAGAAAAGAGAAUUCACGCUCUUUCUCGUUACGAGAAAGGAGCGAAACCCGCGCAAUAGAAUGGAAUUCCGUUUGGCGGAAGAAACGGAACGGAAAAAUAUCCCGUUAGUUUCUUACUCAUUAAGAAAGAAAAUAAAAAUAAAUAAUUUAAUAAAUAAUAAAUAAAUAAUAAAAAUAAUAAAUAACGAUAAAUAAUAAAUAAUUUAGAAAUUCAAAUAGAAUAAAAUAAAUUUUAAAUUUUAAAAUUUUGAGUUUUUCACCAACAAUUCCCAACAAAACUCAAAAUUUUUAAAAUAGAAAUUAAAAUAAAAAAGAAUUAUUGGGUGUUUAUACUAUGCUAUGGGUGAGGUGUCUUUAAAAGACUUAACCCCACCGUGUAAGUGGUUUCCAUCAGAAGGAAUCGGAGUGAAUCAGAUCUUGAACUAAGUUCCUUUGAUUUUGACUUCAACCACCACAAACACAGUGCAGAAUUCUUCAUCACGGGUUUGCGCGUUAAUGGCCAUGCACAGUAUUUGUAAGGACUGAGAUUUUUACAGUGCUACUAAACUCUCUGUUGAUGAUGUUUAUGUGUGUAAUCUAAUUAUAUAAACACUCGUCAAGUUUCAGAAGAAAAAUGAGCUAAAAUGGAGAAGAUACGCGAGUUUUAGUUUUCACUUAAGUGAAUAGUAACUCCGGUUUUCCGG